AUUUUUGAAACUACGGGAUAAGAUGUGCUUGGGCUCAUUUAUUGCGGGAAGUGUUGACAUUUUUAUUGGUACCAUUUUUGGGUACAUAUGAUUUUUUUGAUCGUUCAACAUUACACUUUUUUGGGACAAGGUGAGAAAAGAAGAUGGCUGAUUUUGCGCAGAUUUUAU